AAUGAACGCUGGCGGCGUGCUUAACACAUGCAAGUCGUGCGCGAAAGGGAUUCGUCCCAAGUAGAGCGGCGCACGGGUGAGUAACACGUGAGUAACCUACCCCUUAGUGAGGAAUAAUCGCCCGAAAGGGUGUCUAAUACCUCAUAGGACCACGGGAAGUUCGCUACCUGGGGUGAAAGAUGGCCUCUGUGUACAUGCUCUAACUUGGGGAUGGGCCGGCGGUGCAUCAGCUAGUUGGUGAGGUAAUGGCUCACCAAGGCUUCGACGCAUAGCUGGUCUGAGAGGAUGAUCAGCCACACCGGUACUGAGACACGGACCGGACACCUACGGGUGGCAGCAGUGGGGAAUAUUGUACAAUGGGCGCAAGCCUGAUCCAGCAACGCCGCGUGAGUGAUGAAGGCUUUCGGGUCGUAAAGCUCUGUGGGGAGGGGCGAAAAAGUGUAACCUAAUACGUUGCAUAUUGACGGUACCUCCUUAGCAAGCACCGGCUAACUCUGUGCCAGCAGCCGCCGUAA
rnacentral:rRNA from 1 species